UCCCUGGUGGUCCAGUGGUUAGGACUCCACGCUUUCAAUGCUGAGCUCCUGGGCUCAAUCCCCUGGUCAGGGAA
rnacentral:tRNA from 1 species